rnacentral:rRNA from 1 species
GUCCACGCCCUAAACGAUGGGCACUAAGUGUGGGAGGUAUCGACCCCUCCCGUGCCGCACCUAACGGAGUAAGUGCCCCGCCUGGGGAGUACGGCCGCAAGGUUGAAACUCAAAGGAAUUGACGGGGCCCGCACAAGCGGUGGAGCAUGUGGUUUAAUUCGACGCAACGCGAAGAACCUUACCCAGGCUUGACAUGCAGGUAGUAGGAACCUGAAAAGGGCAACGACCCCGCAAGGGGAGCCUGCACAGGUGCUGCAUGGCUGUCGU